UCUCUGGUGGUCUAGUGGUUAGGAUUCAGCCCUUUUACCGCUGUGGCUCAGGUUCAAUCCCUGGUCUGGGAA
rnacentral:tRNA from 1 species